ACGCUCGACACCUACGGGACGCAGCAGUAGGGAAUCUUCCACAAUGGACGCAAGUCUGAUGGAGCAACGCCGCGUGAGUGAAGAAGGUUUUCGGAUCGUAAAGCUCUGUUGUUGGUGAAGAAGGAUAGAGGUAGUAACUGGCCUUUAUUUGACGGUAAUCAACCAGAAAGUCACGGCUAACUACGUGUCAGCAGCCGCGGUAAUCUGAGCGGGCUGGCAAGGC
rnacentral:rRNA from 1 species